GACAGAGGAUGCAAGCGUUAUCCGGAAUGAUUGGGCGUAAAGCGUCUGUAGGUGGCUUUUUAAGUCUGCCGUCAAAUCCCAGGGCUUAACCCUGGACAGGCGGUGGAAACUACCAAGCUGGAGUACGGUAGGGGUAAAGGGAAUUUCCAGUGGAGCGGUGAAAUGCGUAGAGAUUGGAAAGAACACCGAUGGCGAAGGCACUUUACUGGGCUAUUACUGACACUCAGAGACGAAAGCUAGGGUAGCAAAUGGG
rnacentral:rRNA from 1 species